GCUUUCGGGACCUGGCAGGGAAAUUAAAAAGAAACCCAAGAUGCUCCAGGCUUCUGUCCUGGUUUCCAGGCAACCAGAUGCUGGGUGCAGGAAGGGAGAGGGGCUUUCUUCUGGUGCCAGACAGUAUUGAUAGACAGUGGGCUAACAUUCAGAGCCAAGGAGCUGGGGAGGGACAGAGGAAGCCUGCAUAAGCCUCAUUACCCUAAUCAACCAUACAGUCGGCCCGUUGGCAGGCAGAGAUGGAAAGGAGCCAUCUGCAGGGGCCGGGCUGCGAGAUGCUUUUCCGUGCAUUAUAAAGACUCGGAAGCUAUGAGGACCAGGAUUCCCAGGGAGCCAUCAACCUGGCAGCUAGUGACGAGUGUGUAAUUCAGUGGCUGUGGGCCUAGCCCGGUGCUGUGCUGGAUGCUCUGAGGGUCAAGGAGCUGGACCUGCACACAUCAAAUGUCCAUGUUCAGAGUCCUGAGCGAUCACGUGGGGCAGUGAGCCAACUGGGGUCCUCAGACAGACCUGGGCUCACUUACAGACCAAAGGAGUGACCUUUGACAUCUCACCCAACAUCUGCACCUCCAAAGGGUGAUGGUGGACCAGCAUUCAGGACACUGAGAGUACUCCUACUUGCAAAAAGAGUUUUCCAUCUCGUCGGCAGGGUUUUCCUGGUGACACAGUACAAUGUCCGUCCACUCGAGAUGGCAAGGAUUCCUCAGGCCCCUUCAGUGAGGUGAUGGGGAGGAGUCCUGCUCGUCAUCCCACAGUCCUUGGAGUGCUGUGCAGCAUGUGGCCCGAGUGAUGCACGUACAUUGCCAAAACGCACAGUGGACCCCGGCUUGGCAGAGUUGGGAGUUAGUGAUGGCCUCGUGGUGGCCAGGAAUUAGCAUUCCCAUUUUUCCCAGGAGGAAACCAAAUCGCAGAGAGGGGAGGGGGGCUAGUGGCUCACAAGGAAGCAGGGUGCCUGGGCCCCGAUCCCGCAGGAGGACGAGUUCACUAGACUGUCCCCAAGAAAGAGGGUCCUGUCCCUGGCUCUCCUUGCUGUGGCCUUCUCUUGGCCACCAGCACUCACACCCAGUGGACUGCCCUGGGAACCACUGUGGCCAAGCCAGGCUUCUCCCCAUCUGAGUUGCGUGCCACAUUGUCCCCAGGCUCAAUCUUGGCCACAUCCACAUCCAGAUUGUCUCCUGAAGCUACAAAAGUGCAGGGAGAAAUACCAACAAGCAGGAGCAGAGGAGCUGGCCCUCGGAUCCCAGCCUGGCUCGCCCGUGCACCAGCUGUGUGGCUCCGGCAGAGCCAUGAAAUCCUCGGCGCCUUGGUUUCCUCUUCCUGAAAACAGAGCUGAGUGGCUCCCACCUCACGGGGCCAGAGUGAGAGUCAGUGCUGAAAUGCAGACAAAGCGCUUAGCAGGAAGAACCUGGUGCCUCGGGAGAGCUCAAUGCUUCUUAGUGAGCAGUGGAGUUUAUUCUAACCUCUCAACUCUCUCCAGAGGUCUUUAGAAUACAAUCCUCGUACAUUUAAGUGCACUUUGGCCUCUUUGGGUGGGCAGCUGGGGUCUGAAGUUGCAGUGCCUACAGGGCGGGAAUAGUAACAACCCACUUUUUUGAGGGGGGGUACUGGGUCAUGAAUCAGGGGCAUUUCACCCCUGGGCCACAUCCCCAGCCCAUUUUUGUAUUUUAUUUAGAGACAGGGUUUCACUGAGUUAUUUAGGCCUCACUGAGUUGCUGAGGGUGGUGAACUCAUGAUCCUCCUGCCUCAGCCUCCUGAGCUGAUGGGAUUACAGGCAUGUGUCACAGUGCCGGCUACAACUGACAUUUAUUGAGGACUUGGAUAAGAGCUGGCCACUAUUCUCAGCACUCUGUAGGGUUGGCUUCCGUUCUUCCUCACACUGACCCUGUAAGGUAAA